UAGUUUUUUCCUGUAUUCAUGAAAGGAAAAUUUGUGAUUGUGAAAUUUAGUGUGAAAUUUAGUGAACGUCUAACAUGAUAAGACGCAACUAUGGGUGUACAUGCUGUCCUCUGGCGGCCUCUCUAGUAAAUACACGUGUGGCCGGGGCCCGGAAGUCCGUGCCGGUGCUCUUGUCUCAUCUGUCUAGCUUCAUUCACACAGCCAAGUUUUGAGUGAUUUGAUGACAGUCAUGAGAAGAGAACAGGCACGCGGGUUUUGUUAAGUUGGAAAGUGAAUAUUAUCAAGGGAGAAGGAGGCUGGUGAUGGCUUUAUGACGACUCGUACCCGCGGCUCCACAACGGCUCAACUUCCUCUGCUACUGACAACUUUCAACUUGUGCACACUCGACAAUACGCUGUGGCGGCGAGAUGCUCCAUCCUCGAUCCCGUGGUGACGGACGUGCCUCCUCUUGGUCCACGGUGUCAUCUUGACGAGGAUAACAUUCAGGAGGCCCCGGGACGAGAGCUCCACCCGCACCCUGUGGCAGUGGGAAGACGCAAAACAGGAAGCAGCUGCUGCUCUGCCUGGCGACAAGAAAUUCGGCCAGCCUGCUGCUGGGGGACGUGGAUCAGCAGGCGGAGAGGCUAACGGAGGUGCUGUUGGUAGCACAGGAGUGGCGGGUAAGAAAUGGGCGCAGGUGUUCUACAGGACAGUGUGUUGGGCACACCGUUCUAGAACAUGUUCGUCAGCGACAUGCUAAAUAUCGUCCCGAGCGCACAUGCAUAUGUCAAUGACGUCACCCUGUCGCUGCCUUUCUCGCCAGGGAAAGAGGAAGUGGUGACGGCCACCUCAACACCACAUUACACCAGCUAGAGGACAGGGGACACAUGGUGGGUUACCUUCGCCCCACAAAAAAACACAACUGCUCACGACAUCCGCCCCAACCUCAAUGAGACACAAGUGACACCUCAGUAGGGGCUGCAGAUCCUGGGCGUCACUUUUGAUAGCGAGUUGACUUACCAAGCACAUCAGUCAGCUCGCCAGGUCAGCAGCAGGGAAGUUGUUUUGCCUCUGAAGUAUGUCCAGCCUCGCCAUCCUCUACAAGGUACAGGGGAAACGGAUAUCCCGCCUGCAGGAACUUCAUUUUGCCUCCACGCCGCGUUAGGUGCUCACCAGAUCCGCCUCAACGGUACUAUCAGCCCUGACACACUCCACCCACCACCAGAGGCAAUUCAAGCAAAAAGGAUGUGUGGCGGUGGAAUAAAUUUCUGGCCACGGACAAGUGCCCGGCGACCAUAGUGUUGCAGUGUGCGGAGGCCAGAAAUUCAGUGUUAGUGAACUAGUGGCUUAGUGAAGUGCGUGAUAGUGACACAAGUGUACAUAGUAGAGAUUCGACUUCAUAAAUUAAUAAUACACAGGAUAAUAUACAAGAUAUAAGACAUAAUUUAUAAUGGGUUGAGGCUUCGAUUCAGAGCUCUGUUUGAUGUCGUGUUCGGGGAUUUAUUUUAGAGGGCUUCGGGAUUCAUAUGCGAGUUUACGCCAUACUUAAGGAAAUAAAACGGUGCAGUCACGGCUCACACACCCUGACAGCUACACGUGCCUUUCUUGCCUCAUCCUUGCACGGCCCUGCCCAUGACGAGGAAGUCAGGGAAGGAUGCAAGGGACGAGGCACUUUCCGGGGAGGAGCGGCGAGCAGGGAGUCUGUGGCAGCCACGUGGGACGAUAGGCGGAGACGCGAGCGGUGCGUCUUCCCCCGCCGAGUGCUGGAGCCAGACUGAAGUGAGCCAGUUGCCGACGCCGAACUGGAGAAGAGUGAGGAAAGGCGAGAACACGUAGAGGAGGAGGAAGUGCAGGAGGAGGUGGAGGAGCGAGACCAUUAGGAAGAGGAGAACCGGAGACACAACCAGAGACAGAACCAGACUGGCCUCUUGUUCGUGACGCUGAAGAGCCGCGUGGUGCAGUUCGUUAAUUCGUACCAGUUGAGGCCGCCGGGUAGAGACACGAGCAAGAGCAGCAGCAUCAGAGUUGUUGUCCGUCUGUUCUUACUCACUAUCCUACGAUCUCCUAACUCACAGCAAGACUCUUGAUGGAGCCCAUAAGGAUGUCAUCGUAGCCCAGGAACUCAUCCAGGAUGAAGCGGGAGAGGGAGUCCCCAAAGCAGGCAUCCUUCAAGGGAUCGAGUGUGACAAUCUUGACAGGAAUGUUGAGUUUC